rnacentral:rRNA from 1 species
UACGUAGGGUGCAAGCAUUAAUCGGAUUUAUUGGGCGUAAAGGGUGCGCAGGCGGGGAUAUAAGUCAGACGUUAAAGCCCGAAACUCAAUUUCGGAAAAGCGUUUGAGACUGUGUCUCUUGAGGUUGGACGGAGAAAGCGGAAUUCCACGUGUAGCGGUGAAAUGCGUAGAUAUGUGGAGGAACACCGGUGGCGAAGGCGGCUUUCUAGUUUAUACCUGACGCUCAAGCACGAAAGCAUGGGGAGCAAACAGG